rnacentral:rRNA from 1 species
UACGUAGGGUCCGAGCGUUGUCCGGAAUUACUGGGCGUAAAGAGCUCGUAGGUGGUUUGUCGCGUUGUUCGUGAAAACUCACAGCUCAACUGUGGGCGUGCGGGCGAUACGGGCAGACUGGAGUACUGCAGGGGAGACUGGAAUUCCUGGUGUAGCGGUGGAAUGCGCAGAUAUCAGGAGGAACACCAGUGGCGAAGGCGCCGCUCUGGGCCGAGACUGACGCUGAGGAGCGAAAGCGUGGGUAGCAAACAGG